rnacentral:ncRNA from 2 species
UACGAACCGGACAAACGUUAUUCGGAAUUAUUGGGCUUAAAGGGUGCGUAGGCGGCGCGGUAAGUGAGGUGUGAAAGCCCACGGCUCAACCGUGGAACUGCGCUUCAUACUGCCGUGCUUGAGGGAGACAGAGGUAAGCGGAACUGAUGGUGGAGCGGUGAAAUGCGUUGAUAUCAUCAGGAACACCGGUGGCGAAAGCGGCUUACUGGGUCUCUUCUGACGCUGAGGCACGAAAGCUAGGGUAGCGAACGGG